rnacentral:rRNA from 1 species
UACGUAGGGUCCGAGCGUUGUCCGGAGUUACUGGGCGUAAAGCGCGCGCAGGCGGCGGUGUUGGCCCGGCGUGAAAGCCCCCGGCUCAACCGGGGAGGGUCGUCGGGGACCGCACCGCUUGAGGGCGGUAGGGGCUGGUGGAAUGCCUGGUGUAGUGGUGAAAUGCGUAGAGAUCAGGCGGAACACCCGUGGCGAAGGCGGCCAGCUGGGCCGUCCCUGACGCUGAGGCGCGAAGGCGUGGGGAGCGAACGGGGAUUAGAUACCCUGGUAGU